rnacentral:rRNA from 1 species
GGUUUUUUGAUUAUAAUUUAAAAUCUGAUCUGCUCUAUGAAAUAUUUUAAAUGGCUGCAGUAAUUUGACUGUACUAAGGUAGCAUAAUAAUUUGGCUUUUUAUUGAAGUCUGGAAUGAAUGAUUUGAUGAAGUAAUAACUGUCUCAUAAUAAUUAAAAAUUGAAUUUAAUUUUAAGUAAAAAUUCUUAAAUUUAAUUAAAAGACGAGAAGACCCUAUAGAAUUUUAUAUAAACACAUAUUUAUAUAAAUAUGUGUUUAUAUUUUUUUGGGGUAGAAAUAAAAUUUAAAGAAUUUUUAUAAUUUUAAAUCAUAAAUUUAUGAAAUUUUUAUCCAUUAUUAAUGAAAUUAAAUUAAAUUACCUUAGGGAUAACAGCGUAAUUUUUUUGGAGAGAUCAUAUUGAUAAAGAAAAUUGCGACCUCGAUGUUGAAUUAAGAGAAAUAAUUUAUGUAGAAAUAAAUUUAUUAAGUCUGUUCGACUUUUAAAAUCUUACA